UUAACUUUAAACCCCAGUAUCAUUGGCUGUUCGUAUUUUCUCCAACAUAUGUACAGUCUCAAAUACACUGGCAGAGUUAUAUGGUGAACGACUUAAGUUCUGCUAUGAGAUUUAGAAAACGUUCUUCCCGUCUUCGGGAAGAAAAAUCAUGUCACCUAGCCCUAUUGUCAUUCAUAAAUCU
rnacentral:snoRNA from 1 species